rnacentral:rRNA from 1 species
AUUGAACGCUGGCGGCAUGCUUUACACAUGCAAGUCGAACGGGGUGGAGGGGCAACCUUCCAUUCAGUGGCGAACGGGUGAGUAAUGCAUCGGAACGUGUCCCGUAGUGGGGGAUAACGCCGGGAAACCGGCGCUAAUACCGCAUAUGCUCUACGGAGGAAAGUGGGGGACCUGAAAGGGCCUCACGCCACGGGAGCGGCCGAUGUCCGAUUAGCUAGUUGGCGGGGUAAAGGCCCACCAAGGCGACGAUCGGUAGCUGGUCUGAGAGGAUGAUCAGCCACACUGGGACUGAGACACGGCCCAGACUCCUACGGGAGGCAGCAGUGGGGAAUUUUGGACAAUGGGGGCAACCCUGAUCCAGCCAUGCCGCGUGCGGGAAGAAGGCCUUCGGGUUGUAAACCGCUUUUAGCCGGAAAGAAAAGGCGUCUCCUAAUACGGGGCGUUCUUGACGGUACCGGCGGAAUAAGCACCGGCUAACUACGUGCCAGCCGCCGCGGUAAAAC